rnacentral:rRNA from 1 species
ACGGAAGGCAGCAGUGGGGAAUAUUGCACAAUGGGCGAAAGCCUGAUGCAGCGACGCCGCGUGAGUGAUGAAGUAUUUCGGUAUGUAAAGCUCUAUCAGCAGGGAAGAUAAUGACGGUACCUGACUAAGAAGCACCGGCUAAAUACGUGCCAGCAGCCGCGGUAAUACGUAUGGUGCAAGCGUUAUCCGGAUUUACUGGGUGUAAAGGGAGCGCAGGCGGUACGGCAAGUCUGAUGCGAAAGCCCGGGGCUCAACCCCGGUACUGCAUUGGAAACUGUCGAACUAGAGUGUCGGAGGGGUAAGUGGAAUUCCUAGUGUAGCGGUGAAAUGCGUAGAUAUUAGGAGGAACACCAGUGGCGAAGGCGACUUACUGGACGAUAACUGACGCUGAGGCUCGAAAGCGUGGGGAGCAAACAGGAUUAGAUACCCUGGUA